GUAACAAGGUCUCCGUUGGUGAACCAGCGGAGGGAUCAUUACCGAGUUUACAACUCCCAAACCCCUGUGAACAUACCACUUGUUGCCUCGGCGGAUCAGCCCGCUCCCGGUAAAACGGGACGGCCCGCCAGAGGACCCCUAAACUCUGUUUCUAUAUGUAACUUCUGAGUAAAACCAUAAAUAAAUCAAAACUUUCAACAACGGAUCUCUUGGUUCUGGCAUCGAUGAAGAACGCAGCAAAAUGCGAUAAGUAAUGUGAAUUGCAGAAUUCAGUGAAUCAUCGAAUCUUUGAACGCACAUUGCGCCCGCCAGUAUUCUGGCGGGCAUGCCUGUUCGAGCGUCAUUUCAACCCUCAAGCACAGCUUGGUGUUGGGACUCGCGUUAAUUCGCGUUCCUCAAAUUGAUUGGCGGUCACGUCGAGCUUCCAUAGCGUAGUAGUAAAACCCUCGUUACUGGUAAUCGUCGCGGCCACGCCGUUAAACCCCAACUUCUGAAUGUUGACCUCGGAUCAGGUAGGAAUACCCGCUGAACUUAAGCAUAUCAAUA
rnacentral:rRNA from 1 species